rnacentral:rRNA from 1 species
GACGAACGCUGGCGGCGUGCUUAACACAUGCAAGUCGAACGGAAAGGCCCUGCUUUUGUGGGGUGCUCGAGUGGCGAACGGGUGAGCAACAAGUGAGUAACCUGCCCUUGACUUUGGGAUAACUUCAGGAAACUGGGGCUAAUACCGGAUAGGAGCUCCUGCUGCAUGGUGGGGGUUGGAAAGUUUCGGCGGUUGGGGAUGGACUCGCGGCUUAUCGGCUUGUUGGUGGGGGAGUGGCUUACCAAGGCUUUGACGGGUAGCCGGCCUGAGAGGGUGACCGGCCACAUUGGGACUGCGAUACGGCCCAGACUCCUACGGGAGGCAGCAGUGGGGAAUAUUGCACAAUGGGCGGAAGCCUGAUGCAGCAACGCCGCGUGCGGGAUGACGGCCUUCGGGUUGUAAACCGCUUUCGCCUGUGACGAAGCGUGAGUGACGGUAAUGGGUAAAGAAGCACCGGCUAACUACGUG